AGGGAAAGAGCCCAAACCAAAGAUUUAUCUUUGGGGUUGCGGACAGAACAUUAACGAGAAAUUAUGGUUAACCGAACACAACUGGAAAGUUGGACCGUAGGGGGUAAUAGUCCUGUAGGUGAAAAUUGUAAUGAUCAAGUUCUGAUCCAGAGUACCACGAGACACGUGAAACCUUGUGGGAAGCAGGGAGGACCACCUCCCAAGGCUAAAUACUACCUGAUGACCGAUAGUGAAGCAGUACCGUGAGGGAAAGGUGAAAAGAACCCCGGGAGGGGAGUGAAAUAGAACCUGAAACCAUGUGCCUACAACCGAUCAAAGCACCUUAUGUGUGUGAUGAUGUGCUUUUUGUAGAACGAGCCAACGAGUUACGGUAUGUAGCAAG
rnacentral:rRNA from 1 species